GUCAAGAUAUCAACAAUAUCUGGCUAGUAGACGAAUAAAACUCUGCCACGUGACAAUUCAGUCAGAGAUAGAACAAAAGAAGUUUCGGCCGUGACACAGGCAAAAUUACUAGUGAUGGAAUUCUAACAAUAUGCAGCUGGCGCCCGGCGUGCUACACCGCGGGAAACUUACAAUAUGAAGCAUUCGAAGGCACGUAUGUGGUGGCUAUUCUGUAUCUUGGUGCAGAUAGUCGGUGCUAUAGCCUGCAAGAAUAGGAAGGGUGCGUGCCGACCGCCGCGGUGUCCGGGCGGCUGCAAACCCAAGUACUGGUGACGGCCGCUCGACGCUGCUCGCGUACACACGUGCUCCACCCAAUAUCACAGCUUGACGUAAUCGACGGUUCGCGGUUUGAAAUGAUAACGCUGGCGCAGGCGGCGUGGUGGGUGUGGUGGUGCGUGGUGUGCCUGGCGGCGGCGGCGCGCGGCUGCAAGAAGAAAACUAUCUGCCGUCCGCCGCCCGGCGGCCGGCCCGGCUGCGGCGGUCGCGGCAUGUGAUGCGUCCGUUGAAUACCACUGGGUGGUAAUCAAAUUGUAGCCGUACCCGCUGGGUGCACUGCGACCGAUGUGAACGGACGACAGCAGCCACACAUACAGACGUUAUUUACGUUUACAAAUCC